CUUACAGGAACUUGGGAGGAGAUAAGAAAAAAGAAGAGAAGAGGAGAGGAGGCAAACACUCAUUGGGCGUUGUAUUUGUCUGUUUUCAUGCUGCUGAUAAAGACAUACCCAAGACUGGGUAAUUUAUAAAAGAGGUUUAAUGGACUCACAGUUCCAUGUGGCUGGGGAGGCCCCACAAUCAUGGCAGAACGUGAAUGGCACGUCUUACAUGGCAGCAGGAAUGGGAAGGAAAAGUGUGGAGUCCGUGUGGAUUUCUCUUAUUUUAUUUGUGGCUUGAAUGUACAUUUCUGAGAGAGGGAGUCAGAUGGUGAAAGGGAGAGAUGUUCUUGCUGAGUUUGUUUAUGUUGUGCUUCAGAGGAUGUAAGACAAGCAGCAAAUCAGCAGAGACAAGCGCUGCCACAUGACAGAGGUACUUAAUAAAUAUCUGUUGGAUGAAUGAAUAAAUUUAUAAAGAACUACUACAAAUUCGUAAGAAAAUUAUGGAUAGGAAAUUCACAGAAAAGGAAACCUGAAUGGCCAAGAAUAAAGACAGGGGAGGACUUGUUUCACCUACCAUGUGGAAUGUUCCUGGGGCCUUGACAGGUCUGAAGCCAUGAACAGGUA